GAUAACGCUAGCUACAGGCCUAACACAUGCAAGUCGUGGGGCAGCGGGUAUACUUGUUUUCAAGUAUAUGCCGGCGACCGGCGCACGGGUGAGUAACGCGUAUCCAACCUGCCCAUCACAAGGGAAUAACCCGUCGAAAGUCGGCCUAAUGCCCUAUGUAUUCCGAUGAAGUCCUCUGAAUCGGAAUAAAGCAUUUGCGGUGAUGGAUGGGGAUGCGUCUGAUUAGCUUGUCGGCGGGGUAACGGCCCACCGAGGCGACGAUCAGUAGGGGUUCUGAGAGGAAGGUCCCCCACAUUGGAACUGAGACACGGUCCAAACUCCUACGGGAGGCAGCAGUGAGGAAUAUUGGUCAAUGGGCGUGAGCCUGAACCAGCCAAGUAGCGUGCAGGAUGACGGCCCUAUGGGUUGUAAACUGCUUUUAUACGGGGAUAAAAGGGUGAACGUGUUCUCCU
rnacentral:rRNA from 1 species